UACAGUGCUGUGAGCCUAAGCUUCCUGCUGUGGGCUGUCUCCUCUGUUAUUACGGAAGGAGAAACCACAGCUAGUAACCGACUACACUGUAUUUGGAUCCCUGCCUACCAAGCUCUGAAGUGUGGAGCCUGCUCCUGUACCCUGCUGGGGGAAUUCUCUGGCCCAAGUCUCCUUUCUACACCUCUAAGGUACCUUGAGAUCCAUGACUACGAAUUCUCUAACCUCUAGCCAUUUCCCCAAGCCUUCCCAGCAAAGGAUUCCCUUCUCAGUACCCUUAUGUCUUACAGAAGGCAUUUCUUCUUCAUGGUGACUCCAGAAAAUCACGUAGAUCUUAUCAGUUCUAAUUGGGACCUGAAGACUUGGCCACAGCACCCAGGCUUGGCAGAGGAGAUCUGAGACUACGAUACCAAUUCAACUUAUCAAGUUACAGAAGCAACCACAAAAUAACAAAAAAGGAGUUUCUUACCCACGGUCACCAAAAGGAGACUGAGAGAGAGAAGCAGGAAGCCUUUCAUGGUAGCUGCUCUUGCUUGAUAAUCCAAGGAGGAAAUGUGUCCUCUCCUUCGCUGCCUGGAGUUUUAACUGUCUUUCAAGUCCGAAGUCCACUCAUUAACUGAUAGAGGCAAAGGCAAUUCGUGGUCAGGAUCUGGUCUCUGGUCGUACAGCAUGGGCUGCUUCCAACCUCAGAGUCAGGUCACUUGAGCCCAGCUUCAGGUUGAUAUCCUUGACUCAAAGUCCAGGACAACUGUAGAAGUCUGAGUUCUCUUUAGAAAUCCUUGCAAGGUCAAAGGUGGGAAGGGAAGCGACGACAAGCCCAGAAGACAGCUUAUGGGAGCUGGUUCUCUUCUCUCACCAGGUGGGCCCCAGGAAUAAAACUCAUGUUGACAACCUUGGCUGCAAGCCCCAUUAUCCACCUUGGCCCUAUUAUCUCACUUUUCCCUGGAUUAACUCUCAAGGGUGAAGACUUGGUUUUUCUUUAUUGUUUUGCCAGUAAGCUUCCUGCUAGACAGUGACCUAAUUCUCUUCUGGUCCUUUGGGAUGUCUCCACUGGGGGCACGAGACACAACUUGGCUCAUAUUCUUUUGAUGAAAAAUCAUGCAACAACGAAUGAAAGAAAAUAUGUCAGAUGUCAUUAAGGAUGGUUGCUGGGAUUUGAACUCAGAACCUUCGGAAGAGCAAUCAGUGCUCUUAACUGCUGAGACAUCUCUCCAGCCCGGCUCUGUCUUCUGACAAAGGAUUAACAGAUUUAGAGGAAGAUCAAAUACCAGCCUAUGGGGGUUUUGCUUUGCUUUGCUUUACUUUGACUUAAGACAGGAGCUUACUCUGUAGCCCAGGUUAGCCUGGAACUCAUUAUGUAGCCCAGGCUAGCCCCAAAGUUGUGUGUAUUAUAGGUGUGAUCUACCAUACCUGGUUCCACAUACGGGGUUUACUCACUGCCUAUAUGGUCCCAAAUUCCUCGGCCUUCUAGAGGGUCAGGGCUUUGGUCUGUAAAUUUUACCUAUUUGUCCCACA